GAUGAACGCUGGCGGCGUGCCUAAUACAUGCAAGUCGAACGAAGAUCCAGCUUGCUAGAUCUUAGUGGCGAACGGGUGAGUAAUACAUAAAUAAUCUGCCCAUAUGACUGGGAUAACUAUUGGAAACGAUAGCUAAUACCGGAUAGGUUGAUUGGAGGCAUCUCUGAUUAAUUAAAGUAGGAUUUCUACACAAAUGGAUGAGUUUAUGGCUGAUUAGUUAGUUGGUGGGGUAACGGCCUACAAAGACGAUGAUGCGCAGCCGACCUGAGAGGGUGACCGGCCACACUGGGACUGGGACACGGCCCAGACUCCUAGGGGAGUCAGCAGUAGGGAAUUUUCGGCAAUGGGCGCAAGCCUGACCGAGCAACGCCGCGUGAGUGAUUAAGGCCUUCGGGUUGUAAAGCUCUGUUGUAAGGGAAGAACAUUCAGAAUAGGAAAUGAUCUUGAACUGACGGUACCUUACCAGAAAGCCACGGCUAACUACGUGCCAGCAGCCGCCGUAACAC
rnacentral:rRNA from 1 species